UUAAACAGAUUUUCUUCUCCAAAUUUCAGAACAAGAUCGGCAUUAUCCCUGGCCACAUCUGCAAUUAGGAAUUAAUUGGCACUAUCUCCUAGUCUGGAUCCCUCACAUACAAAGCCGUUCAUCAGACUACCCAAGUUGGCCUUAAACAGACUUUUAGCGUGAGCAUUGGUGGAUACCCCUUCACUAGUACUAACUUCUUUGACUGUCUCGACACUUUCCUCAAGAUAAACGGGGACCUGAAGCCAAGCCUGUUUCAUCCUUUAUUGCCGGUCUUUCUGCCCCAGCUGGUAGUUGCAUGGGGCAUGCUAGUGCCAUCAUCUCUGGAGGCAAGGGAGGUUCUGAAGACUAGAUUAAGGCCCUUGAGAAUGCUGGUGUAAUCAUCUCGAGGUGCCCUGUGUAAAUGGGAAAAUAUGUUACUGGCAGAAAUGAAACGUCUUGGAAAAUCGUAAGCUGAUUGCUGGUGUGGAAACUUGGGGGACUUUACUGGCUCAAGAGAUGCCACUUUGGUGUCCAGGUACUGAAUCACUGACGGCUGGAAUAGUCACUUAGGGAACACAUUUUAAGCUUUUCUCUUACAGAGUUCUAUUUUUUCAUCCAUGCAGCCAUGUAAGGAAUUUAGAAACCUAUGACAACACUUGAUUAUAUUCAUGAAUGGUUAUUUAUAAGUAAAUGUUGAAUAAAAGUUAACAGUCAAAAAUGUGUAUAUAUUUUCAUUUUAUGCACAGGAAUUGUUUAGAUGUACCAACAUUAAAGCUAAGGGGGUUAAUUAAAUGCUAAUCAGUAUCUUGCAUGAAUAGUUAAUUUUCUCAUGUAUUUUGUUAUCAAACACAGAGAUGUCCCUAUUACUGUCUUCAAAGGUAGUGGCAAAUCAUCACUUGUUAUUAAUUUCAUGUGUUACUUCUUACAGAGGUUAAUCUUGUAAAUAUAUUACCCAUUUUGUAUUGACCAAAUGUAUAUAUGUAUUUUUAUCAAGGUAAAGGUUAAUAAA